GACUAGGCACAGACACGACCUUUGACAGCUCCAGGAAAACUUCAGGUUGACCCCUUUGGCCUGGUAGGCCUUAUCUUCAUACAACCUAGGACUGAGAUCUCAAGUUGUCCCCCUCAAAGGAUGACAAGAAAUGUGAGGAUCUCUGAAUUCCCAGCACAAUCACCUUCACCUGACAAGGAUGCCGGUCAAGCAGAAAGCUAAGAGUGAGACACAAUUGUCAGUGCUACUGCUGAGAGUGCAGUGGAUGGCAUGACACCCUCACUAGGUCUGCAAUGAGAAGCUGUAAAUGGAAUUGCAGACAAUAAAAAGAAAAAUAACAAGCUCUACUGUGAUAACAUCAAGCCUGGACUUUAAUAGCCAUAAAAUACCCAUAUAUUUCUAUAGUCACUAAUUAGCAAAAGCAAAACAAAACACCAAAAAUAGAACCAAGACAAAUCUUCGAUAUUGUUGUUUCAUUACGGAGAGCUGGAGUAUUUUAGAUGCACCCUUUACAAACUGAGUGUGUUGUCACAUGACUAUUAUCUCAACAUGUCUAUUAAGUAUCCAGAACGAAAGUCUGAAGAUGAAUUCUUCUUGAGUUUGCAUGCAAGAAUUCUUCAAAAAGACCAUAUGUUUAGACAUGAACCUAGAUACAGUGAAUUUUGAGGAUUGAAGUCUUUCAAAACACAUUUCUCAAUGGAAUCAGAAUGUAAGUACAAGGCAGCUAAGAACAUGUAGGAAAUAUAUAACUAAGUAGGAAUUAACUUAAAGCUUCUUAAAUAAUCAGUGAAUCAAACAAGACGCAAGAAAAAGAAAACCACAUUCAAGGAAAACACUAACUUUUCACAUGAAAACAGUUAUUAGAGAAAGCUACAGCUUCAAGUGUUUACAAUGAAAGGGAGAGACCUCAAUUAUGUAACCCACCUCCUACUCUUUAUAAGCUCUAUAAAAUUGAGAAAAAUGGAGCUAAAUCAAGCAGAAGGAAACACAUAGGGAAUAUCUGAUAGAAAUAAAUGAAAAGAGAAGAAAGAAACAAUACAUAUUUUUAAACUGAAAAAAAGACUGAAAUUGACUUAUUUUGGCUAGAAUGACCAAGAGAAAUAAAAGAAAUUGAAUUACAAGAAUCAGAGCAGCAAGAAGUGACUUUCAUGUUCAGAACCUUACAGAACAUUUCCUUGUCUUGACAUUUCUUGUAUUUUUGGAA